rnacentral:tRNA from 1 species
GGACGCCGCCCUUUCAAGGCGGUAGCACGGGUUCGAAUCCCGUUGGGGGCACGCAAUACCGUGUGCGACACUGUU